UACGGAGGGGGGCUAGCGUUGUUCGGAAUUACUGGGCGUAAAGCGUGCGCAGGCGGCGCGUUAAGACAGGUGUGAAAGCCCCCGAGCUUAACUUGGGAAUUGCGCUUGUGACUGGCGUGCUGGAGUGUGGCAGAGGGAGGUGGAAUUCCACGUGUAGCAGUGAAAUGCGUAGAGAUGUGGAGGAACACCGAUGGCGAAGGCAGCCCCCCUGGGCCAGCACUGACGCUCAUGCACGAAAGCGUGGGGAGCAAACAGG
rnacentral:rRNA from 1 species